AACGGUCGUUUUCUAUGGAAGCUUGCUUCCACUGAGAAGAUAGUGGCGAACGGGUGAGUAACACGUGGGUAACCUGCCCAUAAGAGGGGAUAACAUCCGGAAACGGGUGCUAAUACCGCAUAGUUUUCUUGAUCGCAUGAUUGAGAAAGGAAAGACGGCCUUUGUGCUGUCGCUUAUGGAUGGACCCGCGGCGUAUUAGUUAGUUGGUGAGGUAACGGCUCACCAAGACGAUGAUACGUAGCCGACCUGAGAGGGUGAUCGGCCACAUUGGGACUGAGACACGGCCCAAACUCCUACGGGAGGCAGCAGUAGGGAAUCUUCCGCAAUGGACGAAAGUCUGACGGAGCAACGCCGCGUGAGUGAAGAAAAGGUUUUCGGAUCGUAAAACUCUGUUGUCAGAGAAGAACAAGUUGGAGAGUAACUGCUCCAGCCUUGACGGUAUCUGACCAGAAAGCCACGGCUAACUACGUGCCAGCCGCAGC
rnacentral:rRNA from 1 species